rnacentral:rRNA from 1 species
UUUAUUGGAGAGUUUGAUCCUGGCUCAGGAUGAACGCUGGCGGCGUGCCUAAUACAUGCAAGUCGAGCGAAUGGAUUAAGAGCUUGCUCUUAUGAAGUUAGCGGCGGACGGGUGAGUAACACGUGGGUAACCUGCCCAUAAGACUGGGAUAACUCCGGGAAACCGGGGCUAAUACCGGAUAACAUUUUGAACUGCAUGGUUCAAAAUUGAAAGGCGGCUUCGGCUGUCACUUAUGGAUGGACCCGCGUCGCAUUAGCUAGUUGGUGAGGUAACGGCUCACCAAGGCAACGAUGCGUAGCCGACCUGAGAGGGUGAUCGGCCACACUGGGA